ensembl:snoRNA SNORA73 Small nucleolar RNA SNORA73 family
CCAACAUGACCAUGCCUGGAGGUUACUCUUCCCAGGCUCUGUCCUCACGACCUAGGGAAGCACAGGGCUCUGCCCAAUGAUGUAUAAUCCCUUUCCACAAUGUUAGGUAUCUGCACCUGCAUAUUUCUGCAGCUUCCCAGAGUCCUGUGGACAAUGACUGGGGAGAUAAACCAUGCAGGAAACAGUC